rnacentral:rRNA from 1 species
GACGAACGCUGGCGGCGUGCCUAAUACAUGCAAGUUGAGCGAUGAAGAUUGGUGCUUGCACCAAUUUGAAGAGCAGCGAACGGGUGAGUAACGCGUGGGGAAUCUGCCUUUGAGCGGGGGACAACAUUUGGAAACGAAUGCUAAUACCGCAUAACAACUUUAAACAUAAGUUUUAAGUUUGAAAGAUGCAAUUGCAUCACUCAAAGAUGAUCCCGCGUUGUAUUAGCUAGUUGGUGAGGUAAAGGCUCACCAAGGCGAUGAUACAUAGCCGACCUGAGAGGGUGAUCGGCCACAUUGGGACUGAGACACGGCCCAAACUCCUACGGGAGGAAGCAGUAGGGAAUCUUCGGCAAUGGACGAAAGUCUGACCGAGCAACGCCGCGUGAGUGAAGAAGGGUUUCGGAUCGUAAAACUCUGUUGGUAGAGAAGAACGUUGGUGAGAGUGGAAAGCUCAUAAAGUGACGGUAACUACCCAGAAAGGGACGGCUAACUACGUG